AUUGAACGCUGGCGGCAGGCCUAACACAUGCAAGUCGAACGGUAACAGGAAGCAGCUUGCUGCUUUGCUGACGAGUGGCGGACGGGUGAGUAAUGUCUGGGAAACUGCCCGAUGGAGGGGGAUAACUACUGGAAACGGUAGCUAAUACCGCAUAACGUCGCAAGACCAAAGAGGGGGACCUUAGGGCCUCUUGCCAUCGGAUGUGCCCAGAUGGGAUUAGCUAGUAGGUGGGGUAACGGCUCACCUAGGCGACGAUCCCUAGCUGGUCUGAGAGGAUGACCAGCCACAUUGGAACUGAGACACGGUCCAGACUCCUACGGGAGGCAGCAGUGGGGAAUAUUGCACAAUGGGCGCAAGCCUGAUGCAGCCAUGCCGCGUGUAUGAAGAAGGCCUUCGGGUUGUAAAGUACUUUCAGCGGGGAGGAAGGGAGUAAAGUUAAUACCUUUGCUCAUUGACGUUACCCGCAGAAGAAGCACCGGCUAACUCCGUG
rnacentral:rRNA from 1 species